CUACGGAGGGGACUAGCGUUGUUCGGAAUUACUGGGCGUAAAGCGUACGUAGGCGGAUCAGAAAGUAUGGGGUGAAAUCCCAGGGCUCAACCCUGGAACUGCCUCAUAAACUCCUGGUCUUGAGUUCGAGAGAGGUGAGUGGAAUUCCGAGUGUAGAGGUGAAAUUCGUAGAUAUUCGGAGGAACACCAGUGGCGAAGGCGGCUCACUGGCUCGAUACUGACGCUGAGGUACGAAAGUGUGGGGAGCAAACAGGAUUAGAUACCCUAGUAGUCC
rnacentral:rRNA from 1 species